rnacentral:rRNA from 1 species
UGGUUCCUACGGGGGGCAGCAGUGGGGAAUAUUGGGCAAUGGGCGCAAGCCUGACCCAGCAACGCCGCGUGAAGGAAGAAGGCUUUCGGGUUGUAAACUUCUUUUCUCAGGGACGAAGCAAGUGACGGUACCUGAGGAAUAAGCCACGGCUAACUACGUGCCAGCAGCCGCGGUAAUACGUAGGUGGCAAGCGUUGUCCGGAUUUACUGGGUGUAAAGGGCGUGCAGCCGGGGUGACAAGUCAGAUGUGAAAUCCCGCGGCUCAACCGCGGAACUGCAUUUGAAACUGUUAGUCUUGAGUACCGG